ACCCUCUGGUUUCCUUUCCUGUCAAAUCUGAUCAUUAGUCUUGGUAGCUGUGAAAGGAGGAAACCCAACUCAAACUGGUCUCACAGUGUUGUGGUUUGUAUAUGUAUGUGGGCUAGUAUCAAACAGAU